rnacentral:rRNA from 1 species
UACGUAGGGUGCGAGCGUUGUCCGGAAUUAUUGGGCGUAAAGAGCUCGUAGGCGGUCUGUCGCGUCGAUCGUGAAAACUUGGGGCUUAACCCUGAGCUUGCGGUCGAUACGGGCAUGACUGGAGUUCGGCAGGGGAGACUGGAAUUCCUGGUGUAGCGGUGAAAUGCGCAGAUAUCAGGAGGAACACCGGUGGCGAAGGCGGGUCUCUGGGCCAACACUGACGCUCAUGCACGAAAGCGUGGGGAGCAAACAGG